rnacentral:rRNA from 1 species
GUGGGGAAUAUUGGACAAUGGGCGAAAGCCUGAUCCAGCCAUGCCGCGUGUGUGAAGAAGGUCUUCGGAUUGUAAAGCACUUUAAGUUGGGAGGAAGGGCAGUAAGUUAAUACCUUGCUGUUUUGACGUUACCGACAGAAUAAGCACCGGCUAACUUCGUGCCAGCAGCCGCGGUAAUACGAAGGGUGCAAGCGUUAAUCGGAAUUACUGGGCGUAAAGCGCGCGUAGGUGGUUUUGUAAGUUGGAGGUGAAAUCCCCGGGAUCAACCUGGGAACUGCCUCCAAAACUGCAUGACUAGAGUACGGUAGAGGGUAGUGGAAUUUCCUGUGUAGCGGUGAAAUGCGUAGAUAUAGGAAGGAACACCAGUGGCGAAGGCGACUACCUGGACUGAUACUGACACUGAGGUGCGAAAGCGUGGGGAGCAAACAGGAUUAGAUACCCUUGUAGUCC